GUCUACAGCCACGCCCCCCGAAACGUGCCCCAUCCGGUCUGAUCUCGGAAGCUAAGCAGGGUCAGGCCUGGUUAGUCCUUGGAUGGGAGACCACCUAGGAAGACCAGGUGCUGUAGGCA
rnacentral:rRNA from 1 species